rnacentral:rRNA from 1 species
AUUGAACGCUGGCGGCAUGCCUUACACAUGCAAGUCGAACGGCAGCGGGGGAGAAGCUUGCUUUUCCUGCCGGCGAGUGGCGAACGGGUGAGUAAUACAUCGGAACGUGCCCUGUAGUGGGGGAUAACUAGUCGAAAGAUUAGCUAAUACCGCAUACGACCUGAGGGUGAAAGUGGGGGACCGCAAGGCCUCAUGCUAUAGGAGCGGCCGAUGUCUGAUUAGCUAGUUGGUGGGGUAAAGGCCUACCAAGGCGACGAUCAGUAGCUGGUCUGAGAGGACGAUCAGCCACAAUGGGACUGAGACACGGCCCAGACUCCUACGGGAGGCAGCAGUGGGGAAUUUUGGACAAUGGGCGAAAGCCUGAUCCAGCAAUGCCGCGUGUGUGAAAAAGGCCUUCGGGUUGUAGAGCACUUUUGUCCGGAAAGAAAUGGCUCUGGUUAAUACCUGGGGUCGAUGACGGUACCGGAAGAAUAAGGACCGGCUAACUACGUGCCAGCCGCCGCAGUAA